CGCCCGUGGAAACCUACUGGGACUUCAGAUAUCACCAACGAAGAGAGUCGCCCCCGCGUUUCAGAGUCGUAUCAUCCCCGUGGGGCAUCACGUCCCAGAGCUCCGGCCCGCUGACGCUCCCCAAGAGUACCUACCCGUUGGUGCUCAACACGAUCUCGCCGUCCGUCCGUCCUUCCUGUCACCUGUGAAGCGGAAUUACGUGUGGACGACGCAUCCGCAGCGACAGGCCUAUUCGCUGAAGAAGUAGACGAGGUCUCUUGCUGCAAAUAAAUAAAUUAAUUAUAUAUUAUAACAACAUAUUUUUUCAUCCAGAUUGUACUUCAACAUUUCUUCUCAUUGCAACUUGUCAUCAUAUGUAAUAUAUGCUGUCUUAGGAAUUUCCUUUCAUGAACCAUUAGAUUUAUGAAAAACAAUUUUCGGAUAUUCAUCUGUGUGGCGGACUUAUCAUAGAGUACUAGAGCAGUUCAGAGAGUAGUAUUCCCUUCUUUGGUGUGUCUAAAGCAACAUGAUUUUAUCAUUCAUGAGGUAUGUGGCAGGGUUAAGGUACGGGAAUCAGGCAUGUAGUAUUUUCUUUUCCUAAUUCUCGGAACAAUGGGUGAGCUGAAACAUUUAGGUAUUCAAUCGAACCAAGAAUGUCAUCCCAUCAUUCUUGCUAAUCUUUGCUGGAAUUCGCGUCAUGUAAUGUUCUGUAGACCAUUUGGUCAAACUCGUGUUGCAGUCGUGUAAAAACCAUUGAAAAAUUAUACAUGAAUAAAUCUUAGAGAGGCAAAAA